AGCGAACGCUGGCGGCAGGCUUAACACAUGCAAGUCGAGCGCCCCGCAAGGGGAGCGGCAGACGGGAGAGUAACACGUGGGAACGUACCCUUCAGUUCGGAACAACCCAGGGAAACUUGGGCUAAUACCGAAUACGUCCGUAAGGAGAAAGAUUUAUCGCUGAAGGAUCGGCCCGCGUCUGAUUAGCUAGUUGGUGAGGUAACGGCUCACCAAGGCGACGAUCAGUAGCUGGUCUGAGAGGAUGAUCAGCCUCACUGGGACUGAGACACGGCCCAGACUCCUACGGGAGGCAGCAGUGGGGAAUAUUGGACAAUGGGCGCAAGCCUGAUCCAGCCAUGCCGCGUGGAUGAUGAAGGCCUUAGGGUUGUAAAGUCCUUUUAACGGGGAAGAUAAUGACGGUACCCGUAGAAUAAGCCCCGGCUAACUUCGUGCCAGCAGCCGCCGUAA
rnacentral:rRNA from 1 species